UACGUAGGGGGCAAGCGUUGUCCGGAUUUAUUGGGCGUAAAGAGCGUGUAGGCGGCCUGACAGGUCUGCUGUGAAAACUCGAGGCUCAACCUCGAGAUGUCGGCGGAAACCGUCUGGCUAGAGUCCGGAAGAGGAGAGUGGAAUUCCUGAUGUAGCGGUGAAAUGCGCAGAUAUCAGGAAGAACACCUAUGGCGAAGGCAGCUCUCUGGGACGGUACUGACGCUGAGACGCGAAAAGCGUGGGGAGCGAACAGG
rnacentral:rRNA from 1 species